CUGCUAUGCCCUGGUAUUGCUAUGUCGAUUAUUUUGACUUGUUUUUCUUUCUUCUCGACUACAGUUAUAUCUGGUGUAUUGUGUGGCAGAUGUUUGUCUGUUUGUAGUCGGAAGUCCCAUAAUAUUUUUACAUAUUCAUUUUCUUCAACUUUUUCAAUUUGAUGGUCACACCAAUUUUUGGCUACAGGUAGCUUGUAUUUUUUGCAGAUGUUCCAGUGUAUCAUCCCUGCUACUUUGUCAUGCCUUUGUUUGUAGUCAGUCUGUGCGAUCUUUUUACAACAGCUGAUUAGGUGGUCCAUGGUUUCAUCUGCUUCUUUACAAAGGCGGCACUUGCUGUUUGUGGUGGAUUUUUCAACUUUUGCUCUUAUUGCAUUUGUUCUUAGUGCCUGUUCUUGUGCAGCCAGUAUUAAACCCUCUGUUUCUUUCUUCAGGUUACCAUUCUUAAACCAUUGCCAGGUCUUGGUGAUGUCUGAUUUUCCACUUAUAUUGUGCAAAUAUUGACCAUGCAGUGGCUUGUUUUUCCAUUUUUCUGCUCGGUUCUUGACUUGUUCUUUCUUGUAGGCCUGCUUUCUUUCAUUGGUGUUGAAUAGUUUCUCAUUAUUGACCAUUUCAAGUGCAUCUUCUUCACUGUCCUUGAUGUAUUCUUCAAGGCCUCUUUUCUCCUCCUCUACUGUUUGAUGGACUUGCAGCAUUCCUCUUCCACCUGAGCUGCGAGAGAGGUAGAGCCUAUCGACAUCACUGAGGGGGUGCAGAGCAUGAUUGAUGGUCAUGAUUUUCCUGGUCUUACGAUCUAGCGUCUCUAGCUCUGCCUGGGUCCAGUCUAUUAUUCCUGCAGUGUAUCUGAUAACAGGUAUAGCCCAGGUGUAUUAUUAUUAUUAUUAUUAUUAUUAUUAUUAUUAUUAAUUUAUUAUUAUUAUUAUUAUUAAGAUUUCUAUACCGCCCUUCCAAAAAUUGCUCUGGGCGGUUUACACAGAGAAAUAAUAAAUUUGUGAAACCACAUUGAAGGAGUCAGUUUCUCCAGAUUUGUUUGAGAAAAGGUGUAAGGAUCUAGAUGCGAAUAUCUUACAGUUUCAGGAGAGACUCAAGGAAUUUAAAAAUCAGAAAUUUACAAGAGACAGUUAGGAUUAUGUAUCAGGCCAUGUUUAUGACUGGUUCACUGCUCCAGUUACCCCGCAUAAUACACCUAAAAUCAUGGCUAGAUGACAUUAGCACAUCAUACUUUGAGGGCAAAGAUAAGGAGGAAUUCUCCACUCUUUUUGGUGAUUAUAAUUAUAUUCAAGAGGAGAGACCAUGUUUGGAUAGAGCCUCUAGAGGAAAUUUAGGGCCCCCCAUUCUUUUCACAGGAGCAAGGGACCCAGAGACAGAUGAAAAGCAGCUUUGUUUGGAGAAUCACCGCCAUUGGUUCCUGAUUUAGUCACAUCCAUAUUGAGGUCCAUUUUCAGUGUAGAAGACCUUGUAGUUCAGGUGCUCCAGGUCUUAAUAUAGAAGAUUGGCUGCCCCAUUGGUAUUAUAUUUUGUGGAAGAAUUCCUCUUACCUUAGGUUUGAUUCCAAUGUAACUUUGAUCUUCCUGUGCUGUUCUAAGGUAUACACAUAGGAUUCUCCAUUUGAGAGUAUUUCACUUCAUGUAUGGGCCCAUUACAUGUAUUAUUUUUGGUAGGCGUGUUUUGUGAUUGUGUUUGGCUUAUAAUUAAAGGGUAUGAGGAUUAGUCCAGCUGGCUUCACAUUUCCACCCAUCAUGUUACUGACUGAUAUAUGUGGAGAGAAUUUUACUCCAUGGUUAAGUCCAUUAAGAGGGUCUAGCAUUUUUAGCAGGCACUUUGGUGCUGUGUUUAGUGAUAAGGCUUUUUCAUAUAUGUGGUAGGAUCUUCCUUUGGAGAGAACCUUACAGCAUUUAAGAGCCCAUGAGAUGCAUUCCUAUGGCUUUCUGGAAAUGGUUGUUUCUUUAAGAUCAGGGGGGGUAUGAAGAUGAGCCCAGCUGGCUAAUUAUUUUCACCCCACAUGUGAUUGAUUGAGUUUUGUAGAGAGUAUUUAACUCUAAGGUUUAGUUUGCUCAUGAAGGAUUAUAGCAUGUUUCUGCAGGCACUUUCGUGCUGCUCCUAUGACAAGGCUUUCCCACAAAUAAGACAUUAGGAACUUCUGAUGAAGAUGUAUGUGAAACAGACUAUCAUCUAGGGAGUCUGUCAAGUUUUUUAAGUUUCAAGUCUUCAUUCAAGCUUCAAGAUUCCAGUGCAAAGUUUCCAGAUUUUCCAAGGUCUACGCAGAGGGGAUUACCUCUUCAUGUUGGAGGAUGGACUUUCAGCAAACUGGCACCAGUAGCUUCACACCAGUUUGUUAACUUUACCAGUGUUUGUACUAUUGUUUUGGGAGUGCUUUUUUGCCAUUGGGGAGUUUGUAACAGUCUACAUUGUUGUAUUUUUUUGCUGCUGAUUUCUGGAUGCCUUCAGUUUGAGAUUAUAUGUAGUAUUUCUUCACUUUC